GACGGAGGGUGCUAGCGUUGUUCGGAAUUACUGGGCGUAAAGGGCGCGUAGGCGGCCGUUUGCGUCGGAUGUGAAAACCUGGGGCUCAACCCUGGGCAUGCCGGUGGAAACUGUCGAGCUAGAGGAUGGUAGAGGGGAGUGGAAUUCCCGGUGUAGCAGUGAAAUGCGUAGAUAUCGAGAGGAACACCGGUGGCGAAGGCGAGUCCCCUGGACAAUCCCCUGACACUGAGGCACGAAAGCUAGGGGAGCAAACAGG
rnacentral:rRNA from 1 species